rnacentral:rRNA from 1 species
UAAGGAAUAUUGGUCAAUGGAGGGAACUCUGAACCAGCCAUUCCGCGUGAAGGAUGACGGCCCUCUGGGUUGUAAACUUCUUUAGUCUGGGAAGAAAAGUUUGCAUUUAUGCGAAUCUGACGGUACCAGAAGAAUAAGCACCGGCUAACUCCGUGCCAGCAGCCGCGGUAAUACGGAGGGUGCAAGCGUUAUCCGGAAUCACUGGGUUUAAAGGGUGCGUAGGCGGCAUUAUAAGUCAGGAGUGAAAUUCCACAGCUUAACUGUAGGGACUGCUUUUGAUACUGUAGUGCUAGAACCGAGAUGAGGUAGGCGGAAUGUGACAUGUAGCGGUGAAAUGCAUAGAUAUGUCAUAGAACACCAAUUGCGAAGGCAGCUUACUAGACUUAGGUUGACGCUGAGGCACGAAAGCGUGGGGAGCAAACA